GUCGAUUAGUUCAGAGCCGCUGCUCGAAUAUCGUCUCAAUCUAUCUUCAUCCAGACAUGGUCAGUCUUCAUCUAUUCCAAUCGUCGAUCCUUCUUCGAUUUCAUCGUCCUAGGGUUUCAUCUCCAUCUGUUAGACGCCGCUGUCGUUGCUAUUCGUGCUAAUGAUAUUUUUCUCCGUCCCUUUCGUCGUUUCGUUUUAUUCUGAUGUGGUCUUUGUUGGAGUAUUGGGUAGUCGGCAAAGGGGAGAGCUGAUGAAACUGUAGCUCUGGAAAAACCCACAGGUUCUCUGUGGAAUCCCAGCCCUUUCCGCCCUAGAUCGAAUUCUAUGGCAUCAUAGUACGGGAUCUGCGCUUUUCGUUCCUCGCAACCCCGCCUCCAAUGGCCAUUACAUUCUUAUUCUCUUUCUCGACUGUGGAUCUUUGUUUCUUCCUGGAUUCUUUAUUUGGAUCUAAAUUCACAUUGUCAUAUUUGUUUUAAGUUGAUUGAUUCAAAAACUUUUGUUGAUUUCUAUUGCGUCCAUUAAAUCUUUUCGAUGCUUUAACUUAUUUCUUUUCUGUAAAAAUGGUUUUUUUGAAUGAUUGAAUCGAUUCUACAUUGGUUGCAUCUAGAUCAAUCAAAAUCAAAAUUCCAUUUUUGAAGAGUUAGGAAAUGAAAGAAAUCGAAAGCCUUGGCUCUUUCAAAUUAUGCUUUUUUUUUUGUUAGGUGGAACCAUUUUUUCGGCUUCAACAUUUCUUUUUUUUCUCGUCCAACGUCACAUCGGACGGUGAAAUUCUUUCCUAAACGCUACGCAGAUUUGUCUCUCUCAUAUUCGGCAUACGUCGUUCUAGGGUUUCCUUACCCUCCUGUUCACUGUUGCCGCCAUUGACGUUGGUGCUUCUUACUGGCCUUUUGUUCUAAUGAGGCAACCCCGCUGGAUUCCUCGGCGCGGAUGAUGAAUCGCGGAGAGUGAAGGGAGAGAGGGCCAGAAAUUCUUCUUCGGGUCAAAGGCCCGCAAUCAUCAGAUCUUGCCGCCUCCGCUGUCCUCAACAGGGCGUCUCCGGAUUACCACCAUGUUAGUUCACUUCUAUGUCGUUUUGAUCCUUCUUACGUAAGACGCUCAUCCUCUAAAUUCUUGUCCAGUGAAAUCAGUUUCUUUGGACAGAUUGAGUUUGCAUUUGAUCAUUCCUCGAAUGCUAAUUUGAUAUCAAAUUCUCUCUUAUAUCUUCCUCUGUCCGUAGAUGGUGAUCAAUUGCAAGUUUGCAGCUUUGUUGGAUUUCUAUGUGCUUACAUGUUCUCUAUAAUUUUGUCUUCACCCUGAUGGAAAAAUGUGACAGUGCGAUUCCCAGGUGACUGAUAAUUACUACAGACCGGAUCUAACUAAGGCUGCUCUUGCACGGCCUAGUUCAGUUCAUUGCAGUCUUAGAGUUGCAAACAACAAAGAAAUAGGUCGAAGGGUGGUGCCUGGCCACCAAUUUAGUUCUCCCUUCUCUAUUGGUGUUUGCGUACUCACUCUCAAUGCCCUAUCUUACUUUAGAAAAUAUUUUCUAUAUUCUGUCUUGUUUUAUUUAGAAAAGAUUUUUGUUAUUUUUAUUGGUUUUUAGUGUAUGGAUGUGGGGUCUUGAUUUUUAUGGGACAA